rnacentral:rRNA from 1 species
UGGGGAAUAUUGCACAAUGGGCGAAAGCCUGAUGCAGCGACGCCGCGUGAGGGAUGACGGCCUUCGGGUUGUAAACCUCUUUCAGCAGGGACGAAGCGCAAGUGACGGUACCUGCAGAAGAAACACCGGCUAACUACGUGCCAGCAGCCGCGGUAAUACGUAGGGUGCAAGCGUUGUCCGGAAUUACUGGGCGUAAAGAGUUCGUAGGCGGUUUGUCGCGUCGUUUGUGAAAACCAGCAGCUCAACUGCUGGCUUGCAGGCGAUACGGGCAGACUUGAGUGCUGCAGGGGGGACUGGAAUUCCUGGUGUAGCGGUGAAAUGCGCAGAUAUCAGGAGGAACACCGGUGGCGAAGGCGGGUCUCUGGGCAGUAACUGACGCUGAGGAACGAAAGCGUGGGUAGCGAACAGG